AUCAGCUUGUUGGUGGGGUAAUGGCCUACCAAGGCGACGACGGGUAGCCGGCCUGAGAGGGCGACCGGCCACACUGGGACUGAGACACGGCCCAGACUCCUACGGGAGGCAGCAGUGGGGAAUAUUGCACAAUGGGCGCAAGCCUGAUGCAGCGACGCCGCGUGAGGGAUGACGGCCUUCGGGUUGUAAACCUCUUUCAGCAGGGACGAAGCGCAAGUGACGGUACCUGCAGAAGAAGCACCGGCCAACUACGUGCCAGCAGCCGCGGUAAUACGUAGGGUGCAAGCGUUGUCCGGAAUUACUGGGCGUAAAGAGCUCGUAGGCGGUUUGUCGCGUCGUCUGUGAAAACCAGCAGCUCAACUGUUGGCUUGCAGGCGAUACGGGCAGACUUGAGUAUUUCAGGGGAGACUGGAAUUCCUGGUGUAGCGGUGAAAUGCGCAGAUAUCAGGAGGAACACCGGUGGCGAAGGCGGGUCUCUGGG
rnacentral:rRNA from 1 species